rnacentral:rRNA from 1 species
UACGUAGGGGGCAAGCGUUGUCCGGAUUUAUUGGGCGUAAAGAGCGUGUAGGCGGCUUGACAAGUCUGCUGUGAAAACUCGAGGCUCAACCUCGAGAUGUCGGCGGAAACUGUCUGGCUAGAGUCCGGAAGAGGAGAGUGGAAUUCCAGGUGUAGCGGUGAAAUGCGUAGAUAUCAGGAAGAACACCCGUGGCUAAGGCGGCUCUCUAGUACGGUACUGACGCUGAGACGCGAAAGCGUGGGGAGCGAACAGG